rnacentral:tRNA from 1 species
AGAGGUGUAGCUCAGAGGUAGAGCACGUGCCUAGUAUGUGUGAGGCCCUAGGUUCGGUCUCCAGUGCUUCUA